AUGGCUGGUCACCGGGAUGCCCAGUCUCAUGCUUUAUGCAAACCAAAUCAAAAUAAUUGCAAACAAAACUCCUCCGCGACUGUUGUUAGUUGGAGGCACUCGUUGUUUCGAGCAAGCCAUGGAUUGAUGCUUGUUGGUGGAGGGGGGUAUAAACUUUACCAUUCUGUUUGGGAACCGCCUAUAAUGUGUGUAGCAUGGAAGAUAUCGCCAUCUCUCGGUUGUUAUGUUGACAAUGAAAGUAUGCCGCUCAAAAUAUUAUUUAUCUCUAUUUCAAAACCGAGCUCUGGCACCUCUACAAAUGCCUGCUUCCCUCUGCGAAGGGCCUAUCUAUUUACUUUUAUGUUGAGUCAUCACCCUCUUAUUAAAAAGCACCAGCUGGAGAGCACCGCUGUCAUUUGCAUCCAUUACUAUUAA
rnacentral:rRNA from 1 species